rnacentral:lncRNA from 1 species
CAUUACACCUUUAUAUCUCAGGGCUGAAUUUGUAUCUGGACCUCCCAGCUGAUCAAGUCUCUGCCCACUAGGCUUUUUACCCAUUACUUGUGUUGCUGGGGGAGGGGCGUGAACAGUCCUAGUAAAUUGUCAUCUUUAUCAUACUGAGUAACCUCUAAUGUGACAGGCGCAUCUCCUUACAAUAAACCAGGUACUGCAAAGCUUACAGACCGAGGUCAUCCUGUCCUUAAGACAUUUUUGACCUCCAAGGAUGGAUCAGUUCAUGUCUCAU